CAAUUGGCUGAUUCCUGACAUCGUCAUCUAAAAUAAUCCAUCCCUUUUUCGUGUUUGGACAGUAUAUAAACAGACAGAAUUUCAUCUUUCCCGUGGCACUCAGUAACAUCAUUCUUACGGCUACGUGGAUCGAAAGUGGGUGGGAAUCUGCCACGAUUGACAUUUGUUCAAUGGCAGCUGCUGACGGUGUGGAGAGACUCACACGGUUUGAAUAAAAUGGCCCGAGAGAGUCACCUGUUGAUCCUGUCGUGAUAUGGUGGCAAGUUAUUUCAGCCGGAAGACUGAAUGGCGAAUGUCACACGUGCUGUUGGGCGUCUUUCAGCACUGAAGAAGAGAACAGCUCCCACGGUGUGCCCUCAAGUCUUGUCGAUGGAAGGUCUUCAUAUGGACAUCACAGCCAGGGGGUUUGGGGAUGAUCAGCACUGAUGGAUUUGGCCUAAAUGAAUGGGGACCUGGGGGAAGAAACAUGGAGACAUUUUGAAGAGGGAUUGACCUGCUCUGAGUGCUGGGUGGAAGACUAGUGAUUUUGUUGUGAAAUUGAACAGACACUAACAACAAAACCCAGUCUGCCUCCCAGCACAGGGUACGGGGCUGCAGUGUCUUUUUUCACAUCUGGAUUUGAGCAGAAGGAUAGCCCACAUGCCUUGAUCAUCUUUAGCAAGAUGUAAGAAUUCUAUAAUAAAAUGAAUAUACUUGGUCCAUUUUUUUUUAUUCAGAUUUAUUAUAAUAAUAUCUACAAAAGUAUGUUUUUGUGAUAUGCCUUCAUGUUUUCAAUAACUGAUCAAUAAAAAAACACUACUUAUUGUUCUUACUUUCUAUGGAACAUAGAGCUGGUUUGUUUUUGGUAUAGGUGUAAGGUUGUGGGCUAGAGAGAUCUUUGUACAUGCACCUUAAUAUUGGCUCAAGGAAUUACAGUCCGCCCCAGUAGGCAGGCUACUAGGCUAUAGCUUGCUAUUAUAAGCUGUUCCAGCUCAGUGGGCAGUAGACUACCAGGAAAUUUAG